UGUUAUGUAUUCAGCAAGCAAUGCUGAAUUGUGGUUUAAUGGGAAAAAAAAAUGUAACAAAGUACGAGAGGCUGAGGGAUGCAGACCUGUAUAUCUGAGCAUCUGCAGAACUGGUGAAAUACGAAGGAAGUGUUUGUGAACUCUGAAAGACCAACCAGGAGCCCAUCAGUUGCAAUCACACCAGGAUCUUUAUUUACAAGCUGGAUCUUGGGGUUAACUCACCACAGGAUCUCGGACACUAUGGCAUCAAGCCUCUGGGCACAUCUAUGAAGAGUCAUCUACAGGAGAGAAGACUACCCUGACUGCCACACCCAGGAAGAAGAAGAAAAAUGUUGUGAAGCAGCAUCGGUCUCUGUUUUCUGAACAGAAAUGCAAUGUGACCAGCUGCUUCAUGGUCCUCCUCCCAUGAAUUCUCUGCCACGAUAUCUCCAAACUCGAACCCAGAAUAAACUCUGC